rnacentral:lncRNA from 1 species
CUGGUGGUUUAACUACAAUGUUAGCUGUAGGCCUGUCCUCUGGUCCUCCUGGUGGUUUAACUACAAUGUUAGCUGUAGGCCAGUCCUCUGGUCCUCCUGGUGGUUCAACUACAAUGUUAGCUGUAGGCCAGUCCUCUGGUCCUCCUUGUGGUUUAACUACAAUGUUAGCUGUAGGCCAGCCCUCUGGUCCUCCUGCUGUUAUAACUACAAUGUUAGCUGUAGGCCAGUCCUCUGGUCCUCCUGGUGGUUUAACUACAAUGUUAGCUGUAGACCUGUCCUCUGGUCCUCCUGGUGGUUUAACUACAAUGUUAGCUGUAGGCCAGCCCUCUGGUCCUCCUGGUGGUUUAACUACAAUGUUAGCUGUAGGCCAGUCCUCUGGUCCUCCAGGUGGUUUAACUACAAUGUUAGCUGUAGGCCAGCCCUCUGGUCCUCCUUGUGGUUUAACUACAAUGUUAGCUGUAGGCCAGCCCUCUGGUCCUCCUGCUGUUAUAACUACAAUGUUAGCUGUAGGCCUGCCCUCUGGUCCUCCUGCUGUUAUAACUACAAUGUUAGCUGUAGGCCAGCCCUCUGGUCCUCCUUGUGGUUUAACUACAAUGUUAGCUGUAGGCCAGCCCUCUGGUCCUCCUGGUAGUUUAACUACAAUGUUAGCUGUAGGCCUGCCCUCUGGUCCUCCUGGUGGUUUAACUACAAUGUUAGCUGUAGGCCAGCCCUAUGGUCCUCCUGGUGGUUAUAACUACAAUGUUAGCUGUAGGCCAGCCCUCUGGUCCUCCUGCUGUUAUAACUACAAUGUUAGCUGUAGGCCUGCCCUCUGGUCCUCCUGCUGUUAUAACUACAAUGUUAGCUGUAGGCCUGCCCUCUGGUCCUCCUGCUGUUAUAACUACAAUGUUAGCUGUAGGCCUGUCCUCUGGUCCUCCUGGUGGUUUAACUACAAUGUUAGCUGUAGGCCAGCCCUCUGGUCCUCCUGGUGUUGUAACUACAAUGUUAGCUGUAGGCCUGUCCUCUGGUCCUCCUGGUGGUUUAACUACAAUGUUAGCUGUAGGCCUGUCCUCUGGUCCUCCUGGUGGUUUAACUACAAUGUUAGCUGUAGGCCUGCCCUCUGGUCCUCCUGGUGGUUUAACUACAAUGUUAGCUGUAGGCCUGUCCUCUGGUCCUCCUGCUGUUAUAACUACAAUGUUAGCUGUAGGCCUGUCCUCUGGUCCUCCUGCUGUUAUAACUACAAUGUUAGCUGUAGGCCAGCCCUCUGGUCCUCCUGCUGUUAUAACUACAAUGUUAGCUGUAGGCCUGUCCUCUGGUCCUCCUGGUAGUUUAACUACAAUGUUAGCUGUAGGCCUGUCCUCUGGUCCUCCUGCUGUUAUAACUACAAUGUUAGCUGUAGGCCUGUCCUCUGGUCCUCCUGCUGUUAUAACUACAAUGUUAGCUGUAGGCCAGUCCUCUGGUCCUCCUGGUGGUUUAACUACAAUCUUAGCUGUAG